ensembl:lncRNA
AAGCGGGCUCAGAGAGGCAAGUUAAGUUGCUCAAGAUCACACAGGGAGAAACAGAUGGAGCCAGGCCUGGACCUUGAGCCUGUACCCCAGUCUGCCCAGCCGCUGUCCCCUCUACUCCUGAAAGCCAACCAGCCGCGCGGCCUGUCGGGGAGCGAGGCUAACGGGCAAAGGAAACUAUGUGCGCAAGGGCCUGGAGGCCGGGAGCAGAGGCCGAAGCUUCCACGGCUUCUGUGUGGAGCACGUUUGGGGAAGACCCUCCAUCCCUCCUGUGUGCACCCCGUCCAGCCAGACCAGCAGCGCAGGCCCCCCGCAGCCAUCCUGGGAGCUCCAAGCACUGUGGGCCGUUGGGGCCCAAUCCCUGCCCAUGACCGCCUCAGUCUUCCAGCUGCACUUUGAUGCCUGGCCGGAAGGCAGAGCUCAGUGAGCUGGUGCUGCUGGGAAGCCGACUGACACAGGGUGUGGAUGCCCUGCGCACAGUGGGUGCUCCCGGUAAUGGCGCAGUGGCUCAAGAUGCCAGGGUCCCCUUGCUCCCAGGGCUGCCCCUCUCCCCACUCAUUCUGGCCCCUCCUGUGGGAGCUGGGAUGGGGCCUUGACUGAGGACAUGCCCACUUUCUCCAGAGCAAAGGAUUCGCCAAAACAGAGGUGACCAAAUGGACAGUUAUUUACUGCGCGGUGUCAGGAGUCAGGCCUGGGGCAAGAGCUUUGAGGAGAAAGGUUCCUGCCUCCGGAAUCAGGCCUGGUGGAGCUGGUGUCCCCAGCCAGGGUGGCAGGGUCCUCCCUGGGAGCGCCUUCGUUCCCUCUUCUGCAGGUGAGCAGCCUGAGGCCAGAGGGCGGUGGGAACCUGCACCGCUCGGCCCUUGUCCUCGCCGGCGAAGGAUGGAGGACUGGGAUCCAUGCGGAACACAGAGAGACCUCCAACACGCUUCCACGCGAUGCUUGGAGUCCAGGCUAUGCAAACGCAGUGGCAGGACAUCCUUUCCCACCUCCCAGAUUAGCCCUGAGCUAACAUCUGCCACCAAUCCUCCUCCUUUUGCUGAGGAAGACUGGCCCUGAGCUAACAUCUGUGCCCAUCUUCCUCCACUUUAUAUGUGGGACACCUACCACGGCAUGGCGUGCCAAGCAGUGCCAUGUCCACACCCAGGAUCCAAACUGGCGAACCCCGGGGCCACUGAGAAGCGGAAUGUGCGAACUUAACCACUGCACCACCAGGCCGGCCCCAGAAUUUAUCUUUAAAAGGAACGAAUAGGAUGAGUGGGCAAGCAUGUUUCUUGUGGUGAGACCUUGGAAGUCUCCCCAAGAGCACAGCCUUGCAGGCAGACAGGAGUUCCAGCUGCAGCGGGGCCACGCAUGACCUUGGGCUGCGUGACGUUGGACAACUGACUUCAGUUUCUUCACCUGGAAGGUGGGGACAAUAUCGACAUCUCCCCGCUCCAGGGCCGCACACGAGUCCACAGAGGGAACGCUCGCCCGGGGCACAGUAGGCACGCGAGGACAGGUUUAUGAAGGAGAAGCAGAGUGCUCCUACACGAUGGAUUAGAACCAUCUGUGCGCAUAGAGAGAGGGCCUCUGCAGCCUCAGUUUCCCUUCUGAACAAAUAGGAAUUGGUCUUGGGAGCUUGCUGAGUGUCUCCACCCCCUGACCCCUCCCUCGCCCCAGCUCUGACUAGCCCAGCCAGGCUGUCCCCUCCUCAGGGAAGAGUCUGGUGGGACAGGGACGGCAGUCAGUCAGUCUGUCUGUUGGCCUGUCUGUCAAUCCCAGCCCAGACUCAAUCCGGCCCCUUGCACAUGAGGGUGGGGGAGGGGACAACCACGCUCCGCCCUGGGCACUGGCCCCCUGGCUCUGGCAAGCAGGAAGGCCAGUGAAGGUGGGGUUUACCUCACACACACCUCCGGGGAGGGGCCCUUAGGGGCCAGAUCCAGUUUCUGGCAGGACUGGUUAGUCCAGGUGGCCCUUGAUGGUGACCGAGAUAAGGUCUGCCCGGGUUGGCUGGGCUGUGAAGGAAACCCAAGCUGGGCAAAGAUUGGGGGCGGCCCAGGCCCAGCCUGCUUCAGAGGUGGGAUGGGGUCUGUGCCUGUCUUGAUCCAGCUGCUGUCACCAGCUUUUGGGGACCACCCAGCUGCCUUCUCUGAAUGUCCCUUCCUGCCUGCAGUGAGAGGUAGCACAAAAAGUCCUGCGGAGGGGUAGUACGGGCCUGAGGUUGCCCAGGCAGGAGGCGCUCCAUGUAAGAGUUUGUACAGGCACAGGAUGAGGUUCUAAAGCCAAGAGACUGUACCGCCUGAGGUUGCCCAGGUAUGAGGUCGUCCAGGACUCCACAUUUUGGGUGGGCAGAGUCUUGGUGUCUCUGUCUCUGCCAGACAUUCUGGAAGCCCCCAGGGCCUAGCUGGGCCAGCUCACCUGCCUGGGCGUGGUUCCCACGGGCCAUGGCUUCCUGCUCCCUCUGACUUCAUCAGGCCCUAACCAGUCCUUCUCUAAACCCUUCCACCUCAUUUGAGGGCUGCCUCUUUCCUGCCAGGACCCUGACCAAUAAACUUCUGGGGUCUGCACAGCCCUAGGAAGCAGCUGUUCUUGCCCAUUUUAUGGGGAGGAGUGCCCGUGGAGACCCCCAUGGUAGGAGGUCUUAACUCCUGGGGACCCGGGCUCCCCUCGUUCUCAGCACAGACCUUGGGAAAGGCAGCCCACGGGUCAGAGAGCGGAAACGCCAGGUUUCGUGCAGGAAGUGUGUGUGUGAGAAGCGGUCCCAGGGAAGAGAGGGAGCCCACCUGCGGGCAAGGCAGGGUGAGGGGAAAAGCCGGCAGAAGGAGGCGGCGUCGACCCACACUCAGAGCUGUGCUGACAGCCGGGGCCAUCUGAGGAACCUCGAGACGUGCAGAAAACUGUCCACCCCAGGGACAAAAAGGGACGUAAGCCAUAGGCUCCACCCCAUCCAUCAGGGGUUGCUCAUCAGUCCCACACUUCUGGGUUCACAUACCUGGGUGCCAAGCAGGUCCCUCGGGGGCGUCCUCCUCCGCCGCGUCAGAGAAGCUCUGGGCAAGAGUGAGCUGGGCCAUUGGCCCCCAUCUGCACAAAGCUGGUCAGAGGCGGCAGGAAGCGGUCAGCACAGUGCCAUGGCUGGG